GAACGCAGCGAAAUGCGAUACUUGGUGUGAAUUGCAGAAUCCCGCGAACCAUCGAGUCUUUGAACGCAAGUUGCACCCGAGGCCACUAGGUCGAGGGUACACCUGCCUGGGCGUCACGC
rnacentral:rRNA from 3 species